rnacentral:lncRNA from 1 species
CCUUGCUACGGGACGCUGGCUUGGUCAAGAUUUAUCUAGGCGCGUUCUCACUCGCGAAAAAAAAAUGGUUGUUUGAUUGUAGUGCCCCCUGGUGGCCAAAGGCAGUGCAAAGGCUGUCGCUGAAAAGAAAGCGAAUACAGAACCCAUCAAGCUCCUAAUUGCCUAGGUUUAUAGGUCUUUUCCCAGGUUGUACGCCUGAGGGUAAUACUAGUGGCUCUCUCUCUGUGGGCUGUAUACCAUGUUGGUGAGCUCAGUUUUAUAAAGGGAAAGUUUGCUUUGUAAAACGGCUGUCCCAAAGAGUUACGGGGUCCUGGAACACCCACCAAAGAUAGAGGAAAAGUGAGAUUGAAAUCCAGGUCCAUUGAUCCCAAAGUCCAUCUUUGGCUACAAAUCAACAAAUCACACCUGGCCUCUCCUGAAGGGAAAACAUAUUGAGGAACAAAUUAAACAACACUGUGGAAGGGGCAACAAGCACACUCCAGACAGGAAAACUGCAGCACAACCAACCUGGUUUAUUCAGCAGAAAAAUGCCAGGAAAACAAAACAAACCAAAAAUAGGGUGGCGAAACAUGUAAAAAAAUACUUGCAGUAUGUAAACAUAAUACAAGCUAUGGCUCUUUAAUUAAAAAAAAAUUAAUUGUAAAAGCAUAAACAAAUUGAUAAAUUGUAAAAAAUUAAUUGUAAAAUUAAUUGUAAAGUUAAAAAAUUACUUGUAAAAUUAAUUGUAAAUUUAAUUUUAAAAAAUUAACUGGAAGUUUGAAAACUG